rnacentral:rRNA from 1 species
CUACGGGGCGCUCCAGUGAGGAAUAUUGGUCAAUGGGCGAAAGCCUGAACCAGCCAUGCCGCGUGAAGGAUGACGGCCCUAUGGGUUGUAAACUUCUUUUAUACGGGAAGAAACACCUCUACGUGUAGAGGUUUGACGGUACCGUACGAAUAAGCAUCGGCUAACUCCGUGCCAGCAGCCGCGGUAAUACGGAGGAUGCAAGCGUUAUCCGGAUUUAUUGGGUUUAAAGGGUACGUAGGCGGAAACUUAAGUCAGUAGUGAAAUCCCGCAGCUUAACUGUGGAACUGUUAUUGAUACUGGGUUUCUUGAAUAUUGUUGAGGUAGGCGGAAUAAGUAAUGUAGCGGUGAAAUGCUUAGAUAUUACUUAGAACACCGAUUGCGAAGGCAGCUUACUAAGCAAUUAUUGGCGCUGAGGUACGAAAGCGUGGGGAGCGAACAGGAUUAGAUACCCGAGUAGUC